rnacentral:tRNA from 2 species
GCGGGGGUACCCAAGCGGUCAAAGGGGCAGGACUGAGGCUCCUGUGGCUUAGUGCCUUCCUGGGUUCGAAUCCCAGCCCCCGCA